AAGUCGUAACAAGGUUUCCGUAGGUGAACCUGCGGAAGGAUCAUUAACACGUAGCCAACGUUAAACAACCCUGUGAACUUUCAGCGCUCUUGUAACCAGGCGGAACAGCAAUCCCGGUAAAUCAAUUGGCGGAAAAGUUUUGAUUCGGGACCUCUGUCCAAAAGGUUACUAGGAUCACUGAGUAAGGAUAACGCAUCAACGGUUGCUAGAGGUCGAUCACCGGCCGGCAGACAUGUCACAGGCUAUACGCCCCUUCAUUCACCCCUUGCCCUCCUGCCCGCCGGAAACGCCGGGCACAAAAACUGAACAACUGUUAACAAUGGUUCUC
rnacentral:misc_RNA from 1 species